rnacentral:rRNA from 1 species
CGCUAGUAAUCGCGGAUCAGAAUGCCGCGGUGAAUACGUUCCCGGGUCUUGUACACACCGCCCGUCACACCAUGGGAGUCGGGAAUGCCCGAAGCCCGUGACUGAACCGGAAGGGAAGAGCAGUCGAAGGCAGGCCUGAUGACUGGGGUGAAGUCGUAACAAGGUAGC